UUGCUGUCCAAAUCAAUUCACUGCGACGGAUUGUGAGAAAAAUAUGCUACAUAAUUGGGUUGUAUGAUUCCUGAACCAAGUAACGGCGAAUAAGGACAUUGAAACGCGUCGGCUCGGCGCUGGACCGGUCAACGGUCUCUUUUAUUUUUCUUUUUUCUUUAUAGAAUCGGACACUGCUCGACGAGGAGUGUUGGGCAGAUCGAGGAAACAUUGCUGGUUAUCUCAUAACAACGGCAGCCGCAACAACAACGACUCAACGGGACCCUAAUGCUGCGGCCGAUCGCAAAGCCAUGCAUCUCGAUGGCGAAGGAGCACUCGUUGUGGUGUAAAGUAUUUGGAAGACAAAGACCUCGAGACGCGCCGAUGGCCGUUGAUAUCAGGAAAGCGCUGAAGCGUCGCCCCCGUACAGCACGCGACACAUUCUCGCUCCUCGAUCAAUAACCAGAAUUAGACUUCACCACGCUGCAUUCGAAAUUAUAACCCUCGUCGAAUAAAACACAACCCACCGUCCAACGAGCGAUUUCGCUUAGUUUUGAGUUGUUUGUCGCAUUU
rnacentral:misc_RNA from 1 species